UUGGAUAAUAUAAUUGCAUGUUCUAAUAGCUAAACUUUAAAUUAAAAAGUUGAAACGAUCUAUUCAUAUACAUUGUGAAUUAAUUAAUAUAAAUUGAAAUAAUAUGCAUUGUAAUUUAGCACCGAACACGUGAUGUAUUACACGUACACAAGUUGCGUAUGACGUCAGCGCAUGACACACGGAAGUGUGCGAGACGCGCUGAACGCGAGAUGAGAGAUGCGCUGAACACGAGAUGAGUGAUGCAGAAAUGGAUUAAUAAGAAUGGUGAUUGCUGAUUUGAGUGCAGAUGCUAGCCGAUUGUGAAGCUUCUUUGAAUCUGAAACGGGUGUUUAAAAAAAAACCUGUGAAACUCGGGAUUUGGUCAGGUUUACUGCUUCAUUGGAAAAAUUCUCUCAUGGAUUUGAGAUGGCGAGCCACCCAAAAUUGAAUGCUGAUUUCUGAGCCUGGGGAAAAGACAUUUUUGCUGUAUCACAAGGUUUUCGUUGCGCCAGAGACAUCAAUUUCUUCAGUUAGGAGGACUUUGCUUUGUUCUGUUUGGACCACUUCUUCGAACUGGUAGGAUUGAACUGAUUGCGCAUUUACCCACUGGAUCUCUUAAAGGAUUUUCUGGACGAUAUUCAAGAGACAAUUCAAACAAAGAGUUAAAACAAGGGUGUUGUUUAUUUAACGUUAUUGAAUGUGAGUCACAUGUGAAUAUUGAAUUUCCUUUUACCAUUUCAUUGUGACAAGAAGUUUCAGUUGGUCAAAUUAUUGUUUACAUCAUUUUAUUUUGUUGAAGGGAUUAUUUUGGUUUGUUUAAACACGGUAUAGGAAAUUAUGGCACAACAAGCAGAGUAGAAUAAGAACCUUAAACUCUAAAAUAAAAAA